UUUAAUGAGCGGGUUUUCCUCUACGUCCCACCAGUUUUUCCUCUUCUCUUGGCAUAAACUUCUCUACUCCUCAUCUCAAAACAGUAUCAUCUCCUCCCUCGUAUCCCACUGCCUGAUCGUCUCCCUCCUCCCGCCGCCUCUACCGGCUAGCUCCGCCGCUGAAGCUCCCAGAUCCUACCUCCUCUCUGAUUUACCUCUCCGUUCGGAUUACAAUAUCUUGUAUUCAUUUCCUGGAAAAUAUCACUGACGUAACCCUAGAUUGUUGACCGGCAUCAGCGAUCUACCCCGUUCCAUUUGCCUUCUUGUCAGGUGGCCCGGUGAUGAUGAAGAGUACAGCCUGGCCGAGGAGUACCUGUCGGAGCCUAAGGGUUGCCUCGACCUUGACUUGGGUUUGCUGUUCGUAUCAGACGAGAUCCGAUCUAUGCGAAAUCCUCCCAGAGCUGGAUUUGUGCACAGAGGUCAGAAUUAUUACUGCGCCAUAGCCUCAGAGGUGUGACAAGCACGUCAGAUUAACAAUGGAGAUAGAUAAUGAACAUAGACAGGUCAAAUUUUGAUGGAAAUCAGUUCAAAAUCUCGUAGAAGGCUCCAAAGAGGGCUGCUACAAUGCGUAUGUGUGGCAGGGCUGAAAGGAACAAGUCAAGGUAAACGCCCUCACUACCAAGAAAACAACACAUGUGCCACGAAAUUUAAAAUUAUGGAAAGAAGUAUGCAAGUUGGUGCUUGCCAACUUGAAGAUAUCAAUGUUGCAGAAUUGUAUAUCUUGUAACAUCUAAUAUAGGCAAG